UUGAUCCUGGCUCAGGAUGAACGCUAGCGGAAGGCCUAACACAUGCAAGUCGAGCGGUAUUUGGUAGCUUGCUACUAGAGAGAGCGGCGUACGGGUGCGUAACAUGUGUGCAACCUACCCUUAUCAAGGGGAUAGCCAUUCGAAAGGAUGAUUAAUACCCUAUAAUAUAUCAGGUGGCAUCAUUUGAUAUUGAAAGCUACGGUGGAUAAGGAUGGGCACGCACAAGAUUAGCUAGUUGGUAAGGUAACGGCUUACCAAGGCGAUGAUCUUUAGGGGUCCUGAGAGGGAGAUCCCCCACACUGGGACUGAGACACGGCCCAGACUCCUACGGGAGGCAGCAGUGAGGAAUAUUGGACAAUGGGUGGGAGCCUGAUCCAGCCAUUCCGCGUGCAGGAAGAAGGUCUUAUGGAUUGUAAACUGCUUUUAUAUAGGGAUAAACCUACUCUCGAGAGGGUAGCUGAAGGUACUAUAUGAAUAAGCACCGGCUAACUCCGUGCCAGCAGCCGCGGUAAUACGGAGGGUGCAAGCGUUAUCCGGACUUAUUGGGUUUAAAGGGUCCGUAGGCGGGUUAUUAAGUCAGUGGUGAAAUCUCAUAGCUCAACUAUGAAACUGCCAUUGAUACUGAUAGUCUUGAGUAUAUUUGAAGUAGCUGGAAUAAGUAGUGUAGCGGUGAAAUGCAUAGAUAUUACUUAGAACACCAAUAGCGAAGGCAGGUUACUAAGAUAUUACUGACGCUGAGGGACGAGAGCGUAGGGAGCGAACAGGAUUAGAUACCCUGGUAGUCUACGCUGUAAACGAUGCUUGGGAAUUGACAGCUAUAGAGAUAUGGUUUUCUUCGGACAAUUUUCAAGGUGCUGCAUGGUUGUCGUCAGCUCGUGCCGUGAGGUGUUAGGUUAAGUCCUGCAACGAGCGCAACCCUUGUCACUAGUUGCCAUCAUUAAGUUGGGGACUCUAGUGAGACUGCCUACGCAAGUAGAGAGGAAGGUGGGGAUGACGUCAAAUCAUCACGGCCCUUACGUCUUGGGCCACACACGUAAUACAAUGGGCGAUACAGAGGGCAGCUACACAGCGAUGUGAUGCGAAUCUCGAAAGUCGUUCUCAGUUCGGAUUGGAGUCUGCAACUCGACUCUAUGAAGCUGGAAUCGCUAGUAAUCGCGUAUCAGCCAUGACGCGGUGAAUACGUUCCCGGGCCUUGUACACACCGCCCGUCAAGCCAUGGAAGUUUGGGGUACCUGAAGUCGGUGACCGUAAAAGGAGCUGCCUAGGGUAAAACAAGUAACUAGGGCUAAGUCGUAACAAGGUAGCCGUACCGGAAGGUGUGGCUG
rnacentral:rRNA from 1 species